rfam:Danio rerio chromosome 7, GRCz11 reference primary assembly.
CAAACGGUUCUUUUAAGAGCCACUUACAUAACAGUGAAGAGUAUG